AGUUAAUGAACUUGUAAAAGUAUAUAUUUUGAAAAUAUAAAAAAGAAAUUAAAAUUUUCUAUUAACUU
rnacentral:tRNA from 3 species